rnacentral:siRNA from 1 species
UGAUAGGUGUUGUGGUCUC